AUUCACUAAAUGGAGCUAGAGUCUGUGGCCUGGCCUCUGGCACCGAAGACAGAAUGAGGAAACUGUGUACUACACUGGGGACAGUGUAGAUGUGGAGUCACUGUCUGCUGAAAGGGAGAGAGAGAAGAGAGGCGCCAUCGUGGUCUGGGGGCAAAAGCCGAGGAAGGUAACUGGAGAUCUGUUGCCCAGCCAUGCACAACUAACACACACAGAUGCCAAUGACUGUGGAGAAGCCUCGUGAUCCAAAGGGAGA